rnacentral:rRNA from 1 species
GACGAACGCUGGCGGCGUGCUUAACACAUGCAAGUCGAACGGAAAGGCCCUGCUUUUGUGGGGUGCUCGAGUGGCGAACGGGUGAGUAACACGUGAGUAACCUGCCCUUGACUUUGGGAUAACUUCAGGAAACUGGGGCUAAUACCGGAUAGGAGCUCCUGCUGCAUGGUGGGGGUUGGAAAGUUUCGGCGGUUGGGGAUGGACUCGCGGCUUAUCAGCUUGUUGGUGAGGUAGUGGCUUACCAAGGCUUUGACGGGUAGCCGGCCUGAGAGGGUGACCGGCCACAUUGGGACUGAGAUACGGCCCAGACUCCUACGGGAGGCAGCAGUGGGGAAUAUUGCACAAGGGGCGGAAGCCUGAUGCAGCAACGCCGCGUGCGGGAUGACGGCCUUCGGGUUGUAAACCGCUUUCGCCUGUGACGAAGCGUGAGUGACGGUAAUGGGUAAAGAAGCACCGGCUAACUACGU